AGAGUUUGAUCCUGGCUCAGGACGAACGCUGGCGGCGUGCCUAAUACAUGCAAGUCGAACGCUUCUUUUUCCACCGGAGCUUGCUCCACCGGAAAAAGAGGAGUGGCGAACGGGUGAGUAACACGUGGGUAACCUGCCCAUCAGAAGGGGAUAACACUUGGAAACAGGUGCUAAUACCGUAUAACAAUCGAAACCGCAUGGUUUUGAUUUGAAAGGCGCUUUCGGGUGUCGCUGAUGGAUGGACCCGCGGUGCAUUAGCUAGUUGGUGAGGUAACGGCUCACCAAGGCCACGAUGCAUAGCCGACCUGAGAGGGUGAUCGGCCACAUUGGGACUGAGACACGGCCCAAACUCCUACGGGAGGCAGCAGUAGGGAAUCUUCGGCAAUGGACGAAAGUCUGACCGAGCAACGCCGCGUGAGUGAAGAAGGUUUUCGGAUCGUAAAACUCUGUUGUUAGAGAAGAACAAGGAUGAGAGUAACUGUUCAUCCCUUGACGGUAUCUAACCAGAAAGCCACGGCUAACUACGUGCCAGCAGCCGCGGUAAUACGUAGGUGGCAAGCGUUGUCCGGAUUUAUUGGGCGUAAAGCGAGCGCAGGCGGUUUCUUAAGUCUGAUGUGAAAGCCCCCGGCUCAACCGGGGAGGGUCAUUGGAAACUGGGAGACUUGAGUGCAGAAGAGGAGAGUGGAAUUCCAUGUGUAGCGGUGAAAUGCGUAGAUAUAUGGAGGAACACCAGUGGCGAAGGCGGCUCUCUGGUCUGUAACUGACGCUGAGGCUCGAAAGCGUGGGGAGCAAACAGGAUUAGAUACCCUGGUAGUCCACGCCGUAAACGAUGAGUGCUAAGUGUUGGAGGGUUUCCGCCCUUCAGUGCUGCAGCUAACGCAUUAAGCACUCCGCCUGGGGAGUACGACCGCAAGGUUGAAACUCAAAGGAAUUGACGGGGGCCCGCACAAGCGGUGGAGCAUGUGGUUUAAUUCGAAGCAACGCGAAGAACCUUACCAGGUCUUGACAUCCUUUGACCACUCUAGAGAUAGAGCUUCCCCUUCGGGGGCAAAGUGACAGGUGGUGCAUGGUUGUCGUCAGCUCGUGUCGUGAGAUGUUGGGUUAAGUCCCGCAACGAGCGCAACCCUUAUUGUUAGUUGCCAUCAUUCAGUUGGGCACUCUAGCAAGACUGCCGGUGACAAACCGGAGGAAGGUGGGGAUGACGUCAAAUCAUCAUGCCCCUUAUGACCUGGGCUACACACGUGCUACAAUGGGAAGUACAACGAGUCGCGAAGUCGCGAGGCUAAGCUAAUCUCUUAAAGCUUCUCUCAGUUCGGAUUGCAGGCUGCAACUCGCCUGCAUGAAGCCGGAAUCGCUAGUAAUCGCGGAUCAGCACGCCGCGGUGAAUACGUUCCCGGGCCUUGUACACACCGCCCGUCACACCACGAGAGUUUGUAACACCCGAAGUCGGUGAGGUAACCUUUUGGAGCCAGCCGCCUAAGGUGGGAUA
rnacentral:rRNA from 1 species